rnacentral:tmRNA from 1 species
GGGGACGAGUGGUUUCGACAGGGGAGGAGCGCUACAGGAUUGCAGGCCGAGGUGCCGCUACCUCGCAAAACAGGUGGCAAAAAAGUAACUGGCGACUACGUCAUCGCAAGCUAAGCGAGACACGUCCCUCUGGCUUCCCUCGAUGGGCUAGGGAGGAUGAAGAAGAGUCGAGGUGCGGUAAUCCAGACGUCGAUAAGGGUUGCCAAAGAAGCUAUCGACUGGCUCAACCGCACUCGGUCAGCAGAGGGCGGUUGUCCGAUUUAUCGGACUCCGCAAAGCGGAGGGCAAGAGCAAAGAGCCGACUAAGCCUGUAGCACAUCCUGGGUAGACUUCCUCUGGACGGGGAGUUCGACUCUCCCCCGUCUCCACCA